CCCCARUCUCGGUGKGGGAUWAACAAUCGAGCCCUUCGAAACUUGAGGGUAAUCAAGUUAGUCCUUACGUUGCUCAUGAGCCAAAAGAACCCUCAYGCAAAAUGGGGGAUCAAGUAGAGCUYGUGUGCUUGUGUAAGGCUUGACCAUGGCUUGGGUGCUGUAGCCUUUGGGCAUCGGUACCUUUGAGCGCAUGGUCACCCCUUCUUGGUUGGGGGUUAUCAACCGAGUCCAAUGAUGGAAAGCGUCCCCCUUUAGGGGUUGAAGCUCUACAUUGUUGGGUGACGUCCCAAGGUGAUUGGUCCGGUUGAAAUACGAAUGGUCAGAAUACGAGUGUCCCUAUGGUUUAUUCCACGCCUAGCGGUGCCUAUUGGGGUUAAUCCUUUUAUGGUGUUCUUGUGUUUGGCCACAAUGAUAUCAAUGAAAGGGUUUAUCCAAAUAAUGCAGUACGUGAAGCGUAUGAGUGGUGUUUGGUUUGUGUGGUUGGCGGGCUCUGUGCUUGUGCAUUGAACCGUCACUAGCAAACCUCUUCAUUGUUUGCUCCAAGUGCGUACCUUCCUUGGGCUAGGCCUGGUUUCCUGUGUUGAAUGCCUUGUGAUGGAAUCGUGUCCCUUGAAAGUGUGUUAUCUGUUCCUCUACCUUAACGGUUGUGGGAUGGACGUUGAAGCUUGGCUCGUGAUCCACCAUUGUGUAAAAACAAAGCACAGGGGAUCGGAUCACGAUCACAAGUUGGACCAUUGGAUGCGGAAUGUUGUGAUGGAGUGGACAACAUGUUGUCGGACCCUAAUCUAGCGUGGAACGCUAUGCACGAAUGACAUUCGAGCAUGAGUUGACCCUAUUGUAACUAAGGGCUCAUUCCUGCCGAUGUCGAAUAAGGAGUGC
rnacentral:misc_RNA from 1 species